UACGUAGGGCGCAAGCGUUGUUCGGAUUUACUGGGCGUAAAGGGUGCGUAGGCGGCGAAUUAAGUCAGCUGUGAAAUCUCCGAGCUUAACUCGGAACUGUCAGCUGAUACUGAUCUGCUAGAGUGCGGAAGGGGCAAUCGGAAUUCUUGGUGUAGCGGUGAAAUGCGUAGAUAUCAAGAGGAACACCUGAGGUGAAGACGGGUUGCUGGGCCGACACUGACGCUGAGUGCGCGAAAGCCAGGGGAGCAAACGGG
rnacentral:rRNA from 1 species